rnacentral:misc_RNA from 1 species
GUAGGUGAACCUGCGGAAGGAUCAUUAUCUAUUUUAAUGGUGUUGGCUGCGGCCCCCGGCGGGAAAGCCCCCGGGUGGUAGAGGUAACACUCUCACGCGGCCACAUGCCUUAAUCCUUUUUUUUACGAGCACCUUUCGUUCUCCUUCGGUGGGGCAACCUGCCGUUGGAACCUAUCAAAACCUUUUUUGCAUCUAGCAUUACCUGUUCUGAUACAAACAAUCGUUACAACUUUCAACAAUGGAUCUCUUGGCUCUG